GGAGCAAUCGUUAGAUAGUAAGU
rnacentral:snoRNA from 2 species